rnacentral:rRNA from 1 species
UACGGGGGGGGCAAGCGUUGUUCGGAAUUACUGGGCGUAAAGGGCUCGUAGGCGGCCAACUAAGUCCGACGUGAAAUCCCAAGGCUUAACCUUGGAACUGCGUCGGAUACUGGAUGGCUUGAAUUCGGGAGAGGGAUGCAGAAUUCCAGGUGUAGCGGUGAAAUGCGUAGAUAUCUGGAGGAAUACCGGUGGCGAAGGCGGCAUCCUGGACCGACAUUGACGCUGAUGAGCGAAAAGCUAGGGGGAGCAAACGGG